UACACAGAAUCAAUUACAAAUGAUGGUGGAUAUACAAAGGAGGAUAGUUGUAUGGGAUAGAAAACCAGGGAGAGAGAGGAGUGAGAAAUUUUGCGAGAGAAUGGAGAAAGAAAGAGAGAGAAUAGUGAGAGACAAUUGAGAGUGAAAUGAGAAGAGAAAGAAGAGAGAGAUGCAAGAAGAAAGAGAAACACUACUGAAGAGAGAUGAGUGAGAAUUUUUUUUUUUUUCUUGUUAAAUCAGAAGAUUACCAGUAAACUGUUAAGGUAGUACUAUACUAUUAUAAUGCCCUAAGUUUAGGGACAAUUGAGAAGUGCAUAGUUAACUCAUACCUGCUUGGUUUACUCCAUUGU
rnacentral:misc_RNA from 1 species